GCAUCACUUGCAACGCCCUGCACCCUCUUACAAACCAGCCAGGCUCUUCACUGAGCCUCUCCCCAACCCAAUUAAAGCCUUGAUCCAGCAAACCUCCAGGCUGGGGUCUGUGCCACCCAACCCCAGCCCUAGAAACCGCCCCCCCAAAAAAAAAAAGCUUUCCAUCCCCAUAGCCUGGUAUUGCACAGGCCACUCACAGCCUUGUCCAGCUCAGUGCCGUCGCCUCGAGCCAUGCACCAGAGCCACCUCCAGCCUCCGGCCGCGGAGCCAGUUCUGUUCCUGGAGGCCUGGAGGGAAUGGUUGCGAAAAGCCUUGGGAAACUGAGGCACGAGCAGAGUCUGCUUCAAGGAGAGGUGCAUCAGGCUGGCUGCAUGCGUGUUGCUGCUCUGGGGGGAUUAUUUUCCUCCCGGUGAUGUGAGGAGUGAGAGAACCUGCAGAAGUGAAUGAAAUCAGAUUCCCUGCUGAGACCAACACUGACCCCCGAAGCCCCGGAGACCACAUGCCAACCCCGAGGCAGGAGGUGCCACCAUCAUCCCCCUGUCCCCGAUCCCCUGGCUUGGGCAGGGUUUGGGUCCCCGCCCGUGGGGAGAAGCGGAAAAGAGCUCCCGGCUGAUGCAGGUCCCUGAUGAAAACCAGUACCUUCCCCUCCUCCGUCCACUUUCCACUCCUGAAGCAAAUUUACAAGGGCUCUAAAAUGUCCUGCUCCAGGGCAUCAGCCAGCUGCUAGUGGCUGGGGAUUGGGAAAGACGUUUCCUCCGCACAAGAAGGAUUGCAUAAGCGCUUAUUAAGGCUGCUCCUGGCGUCUUCAUCUAAAGCAUCUGGUUUGGGACACGGCUGGAGACAAACUGCUGGAUCUGGAUGGGGUAGAGCUGGGCUCCCUGCUGCCAACUUUCCCCUUGUUGGGACGUGGUUGUAGGUUUGGGUUAUCUCAUACGUGCCAGUGGGGAAAAGGGAGGUGGGUCAUGACAUGAGAUGUGUCUUUCUCCCUCUCCCUCUGCUUUCCCUCCGGUCCCGGUGGUGCCACCGCGGGGACUUGUCUUCACACCUUUUGCUCCAUUAGCUCUUGCUUUGCAAUGUUCAGCAGGAGGAGUCAUGGUUUGAGCUCGGUGCCCUUCCCACCCCAGGUACCCCAAGUACCAUGAUGCCCCACGUGCAUGAGGGAUUCCCCUGGUCCCUGGUCACGCCGCCAUCCAGCCUUCCUUGGAAGAGGGUCUUCCCUCCUGUCCCGUCGGCACCGCGCCUUGUGCAGGGACUGACCUGGCUUGUUGGUUGGGCAUUGGGUGCUCCUCCUAGCUUGCACCAUGUUUGCGUAACACUGCAGGUAAUUGGCUUUGCAGUGGAAGGCUGGUGACAGUGUCCCAGGCUACCAAAAUAGGUUGGGAUGCUCUAACGUGGCGGUGCUGUGCCACAGGCUCAGUGGGGUGUGCUGGCACCGGGGAGCAGCCAGAGCCGGGGAGCAGCAUCCUGCCCAUGUUUCCCUGAGGUGGAACCAUGUCCCAGUAUCCGUACUUCCCACCCUCCUCUCCAUGCAGAUCCACCUGGGGUUUUUAACUCAUUUUGUCUGUAAGUUUUUCGGGGCAGUUCCAGUUCUCAUCGCACAGUGCCUCGUGCCAGGUCCGGCUGUGCCUUCCCAGCGCUGCCAGGGUAGGGGGAUAAGGACAAUUAGUGGUGCCUUAUUCUGGUUAUCCUCAGUUCUCCCAAAAUCCCAGGGCUUCUCUCUCCCUGGGUUCAGGAGUUGCUGCUCCACUCCCAGGGCAGCAGAGGGGCUGGUUUUCCCCCAGUUCCCCCUGCCACAUCCCGAGAGGUCCGUGCAGCCACCCAGCCGGCCGUCAGGUUACGGCGAGAGUUGCAAGAUGGUGUUUUCAAGCUUGGGUUCGUUUUCUGCAGAUUGAGAUGGUUUUAAAAAAUAACAAGCGUCUGUUACAACUUUUUUGCAACUGAAAAUUAUUUGGGGGCUGGGGGUUUUAAACCAUUUUAGUGCUUUUUUCCACCCUUUUUUCCCCUGUUUUAUAAAUGGGAGGUGGCAGAAGCAGGAGUGCAGCUGGCAUCAGACCGGGGCUGCAAAUAUUUUCCUUUUUAGGAUGCAAGUUUUGGGGAGAGGAGAUGACAGGGAGCUAGGGAUCAGUUAUUUGUGUUGUUUCCUUGGGUUUUGCUUUAUGGCCCCCCAAAAAAAAAACAGGGAGAAGAAGGGGAAUCUGGAGAUCCAUAAGGCAGCUGUUUCUUUAGCUAAAAACAUUUUCACACGCAAAGUUGCUGCCGGCUGCAGGUCGUAUCCAGCCCUCUGCCUCAUCACACCGGCUUUUAUAAGCACAGCCCGUGCAAGACCAUGCUGUAUGGGGGGAAUGGCAUGGGCUGGGAGGGGUGGUUGAGCCACCCAGCUCUUCAAUGGGAGCUGCCGCUGUCCCAGCACCGGCCCGUCCGCCGGCUCUGGAAUGUGCUCCCGAAAUACACAAUCGCAAACGCAUUGCAGAGCUGCCAGCCCCACGCCGCGCUGGGGGACACCCCCCUGUACCUGCCACCCUCCGCUCUGUCCUUUUAUCCGGCAGCGAAGCACUCCGAGUGCAGGUGAUUUGGGGCGAGAAAACGUCUUUUUGAUGAAAUCUUCAAAGCCGAGCCGUCCCGCUCCCCAAGUUCCAGGCAGCCUCGGGUUUUGGGUUCAGGGUGGCACUUUGCCAGCCCUUUGCCUCCCCAAGGCUUGUUAUCCCCCCCCUGAGCUGGGACACAGCACCUGGUGCAGCUGUGCCAAUGCCUCCAGGGCACCCAUGAGGGUAGGGGCACAGCGGGGAUGUUGCGGAGUGGGGGGAAAGGCCCCGGUGUCCCAUGUCAGUGUGGUCUGUGGUGUUGCAUUGCU